UCAAGCUACUAAGGGCAUACGGCGGAUGCCUAGGCGCCAUCAGCCGAUGAAGGACGCGGUAAGCUGCGAAAAGCUACGGGGAACUGCAAGCAAGUAUUGAUCCGUAGAUGUCCGAAUGGGGAAACCCACCUGCCGUCAUGGGCAGGUAUCCGAAAGGAAGGGAACCCGGGGAACUGAAACAUCUAAGUACCCGGAGGAAGAGAAAUCAAACGAGAUGCCCACAGUAGCGGCGAGCGAAGAGGGCAGAGGGCAAACCGGGGAGCUACGGCUCUCCGGGGUUGAGGACUGCAUUUAGUCUUAAUGGUCUAUCCGAACUACCUGGAAAGGUAGGCAACACAGUGUAAAAGCCACGUAGGUUAAAGGCCAGAGAGAUGAGCAGUAUCCAGAGUACCACGAGGCACGAGGAAUCUUGUGGGAAGCCGGGGGGACCACCCUCCAACCCUAAACACUGAAUGGCGACCGAUAGCGCAUAGUACCGUGAGGGAAAGGUGAAAAGAACCCCGGGAGGGGAGUGAAAGAGAACCUGAAACCGUAUGUCUACAAGCAGUCGGAGCGAAAGCGACGGCGUGCCUAUUGAAGAAUGAACCAACGAGUUACGUGCACUAGCGAGGUUAAGUGGAAGACACGGAGCCGAAGCGAAAGCGAGUCUUAAGAGGGCGGAUAGUUAGUGUACGUAGACCCGAAACCGCAGUGAUCUACCCAUGUCCAGGUUGAAGCGCAGGUAAAAUUGCGUGGAGGACCGAACCUGUGAGCGUUGAAAAGCUUUAGGAUGAGAUGUGGGUAGAGGUGAAAUUCCAAUCGAACGCGGAGAUAGCUGGUUCUCCCCGAAAUAGCUUUAGGGCUAGCCUCAAGUAGUAAGUAUAGGCGGUAGAGCACUGAUCGGGCUAGGGGCCAUAAAGGUUACCGAACCCUGUCAAACUCCGAAUGGUUAUACUGUAGAGCUUGGGAGUCAGACUACGAGUGAUAAGAUCCGUGGUCAAAAGGGAAACAGCCCAGACCACCAGCUAAGGUCCCCAAUGUCGUACUAAGUGGAAAAGGAUGUGGGGUCUCUAAAACAACCAGGAUGUUGGCUUAGAAGCAGCCACCAUUUAAAGAGUGCGUAAUAGCUCACUGGUCGAGAGACCCUGCGCCGAAGAUUACCGGGGCUAAAGUACGAAACCGAAGCUGUGGCUACGACGUAAGUCGUGGGGUAGGGGAGCGUUCUGUGAGGGCUGAAGUCGUUCUGUAAGGAACGGUGGACUUCACAGAAGUGAGAAUGUUGGUAUGAGUAGCGAAAAGAAUGGUGAGAAUCCAUUCCACCGAAAGCAUAAGGAUUCCUGGGCAACGAUCGUCGUCCCAGGGUAAGUCGGGACCUAAUCCGAGGCAUGGAGCGUAGGAGAUGGACAACUGGCAGAUAUUCCAGUACCGGUAAUGAUUGUUUGAGCGAUGGAGUGACACAGGAGGGCAGGCAGGCAGGAGAUUGGUUGUUCCUGUACAAGCGUGUAGGAUGGGACGCAGGCAAAUCCGCGUCCUGUGAGUCUGAGGCGUGAUGUGGAGGUUCCGGAAACGGAACUGAAGCUGCUGACCCCACACUGUCGAGAAAAGCUUCUAGUUAGAGAAUUACCGCCCGUACCGUAAACCGACACAGGUAUGCGGGGAGAGAAUCCUAAGGUGCGCGGGAGAACCCUCGUUAAGGAACUCGGCAAAAUGUACCCGUAACUUCGGGAUAAGGGUAGCCGCUGUUGUGAAGUCUGCACAGACGGAGCAUGAGGCGGUCGCAGAGAAGAGGCCCAAGCGACUGUUUACCACAAACACAGGUGCCUGCUAAAGAGAAAUCUGACGUAUAGGUGCUGACACCUGCCCAGUGCCGGAAGGUUAAGGAAGGAUGUCCGGAGCAAUCCAAAGCAUUCGACCGAAGCCCCGGUGAACGGCGGCCGUAACUAUAACGGUCCUAAGGUAGCGAAAUUCCUUGUCGGGUAAG
rnacentral:rRNA from 1 species